rnacentral:pre_miRNA from 1 species
AUAGUAUUCCAUCUGUCCCAAAAUUCUUGUCUUAAAUUUGUCUACAUACGGAUGUAUCUAUUCACGUUUUAGUGUUAGGUACAUCUGUAUCUAUAAGACAAGAAUUUUGAGACGGAGUGAGUAUAUA